rnacentral:rRNA from 1 species
UACGAACUGUGCGAACGUUAUUCGGAAUCACUGGGCUUACAGGGUGCGUAGGCGGCCCGGCAAGUCAGGUGUGAAAGCCCCCGGCCCAACCGGGGAACAGCGCUUGAAACUGCGGGGCUCGAGUCAGCUAGAGGUGCACGGAACUUCCAGUGGAGCGGUGAAAUGUGUUGAUAUUGGAAGGAACACCGGAGGCGAAAGCGGUGCACUGGGGCUGUUCUGACGCUGAGGCACGACAGCCAGGGGAGCGAACGGG